rnacentral:snRNA from 1 species
CUAAAAUUUAGUCAUACUAAAAUUGGAUCGAUACAGAGAAGAUUAGCAUGGCUCCUGUGAAAGGAUGACACGCAAGUCCAUGAAGCGCUACAUCUUUUG